rnacentral:rRNA from 1 species
AACGAACGCUGGCGGCGUGCCUAACACAUGCAAGUCGAGCGCGAAAAGGGCAACCUGAGUAGAGCGGCGCACGGGUGCGUAACACGUGGGUAAUCUGCCUUUGGGUCGAGGAUAACCUUCCGAAAGGUUGGCUAAUACUCGGUAAGCUUACGGGGACUUUGGUCCUUGUGAGAAAAGUAGACCUCUAUUUAUAAGUUUACGCCCAGAGAUGAGCCCGCGGCCCAUCAGCUAGUUGGCGGGGUAACGGCCCACCAAGGCAACGACGGGUAGCUGGUCUGAGAGGACGAUCAGCCACACUGGAACUGAGACACGGUCCAGACUCCUACGGGAGGCAGCAGUGGGGAAUUUUCCACAAUGGGCGAAAGCCUGAUGGAGCAACGCCGCGUGUGUGAUGAAGGUCUUCGGAUCGUAAAGCACUUUCGACCGGGACGAAAAACCUUUGGCUAACAUCCAGGGGCCUGACGGUACCGGGAGAAGAAGCACCGGCUAACUCUGUG